UUAAGCCAUUGGAGUUUGUAAGACUUAGGGUGAAGUUUUGUUUCCAAAUUGAGUUUACAAACCAAACAUGUGCUAGCAAUAUUUGUACAACUUCCUCCAUCAAUAAUUAAAUAACAAACCUUUCCUUGCACAAGGCAUCUUGUAUGAAAAAGGUUUUCUCUUUGACUUGUAUCCUCCUCUUUGAUUUGGCUUCCCAACAUUCUUUUCACCAUGAGUAAAUCUCCACUAGGUAUUUCU
rnacentral:lncRNA from 1 species